AAGAUCUUGAAGCUGAAUGUACACAGAGUGAGAAAGAGGAUUCAAAGAUAAAUCUGAAGUUUGUUGCAGGAAAAUCCUGUGAUACAGAUCUCUGAAAGAAGACCAAGAGGAAAAUCUUCAAGACUGCUUAAAAAAAAAGAAAAAGAAAGAAAAAGAAAUUAAAAAAAAGAAAAAAAAGAAUGAAAAAGAAAAUUAAAAAACAAAACAAAACAAAACAAAAAAAAAACCCACUCAUAUUCUCCUAUAUAUUCCUCCACUAAUGUGUCUUCAGGCACAACAAUUUUGCAUGACUUCAUCAGCCAGCAUGACAGAGAUGUAGAUAUGUCCUCUAUCACUCUAUCAUAUCAAGAACUGAGCAGAAGCUCUUAGACUGGAAACUAGAAAAAAUGUGAUGUUGUAUGCUGUGGAAUCGUGG
ensembl:lncRNA